rnacentral:lncRNA from 1 species
AUUUAGAGGAGGGACCCGGCCUAGCCGGUGGUUCAGGUGGCCGGUCGGGCUGGAAGGGCGGGGAUGAGGGAUGGGACGCAUCCCCGGGGGAUGCUCCUCCAAAGCUUUUAUCGGGCGAGCGCAGUGGCUCACGCCUGUAAUUCCUGCACUUUGGGAGGCUAAGUAGAGAUGGGGUUUCACCAUAUUGGCUAUGCUGGUCUCGAACUCCUGACCUUGUGAUCCACCUGCCUUGGCCUCCCAAAGUGCUGGGAUUACAGGAUGAAAGGCUUCCUAGCACAAACACCACCCCUGGAGUUCCCGGUACAUCAAUACCAGCCUGGGGAUCACGUUCUCAUCAAGAGUUGGAAGAGGGAAAGCUUGAACCAGCUUAGGAGGACCUCAUCUGGUACUCUUGAUGAAUGAAACAGCAAUCUGAAUGGCUGAAAAAGGAUGGACCCAGCACUCCAGGGAGAAAACUUGGCAUUCUUUGGGAAUCUAACAGGAUGCAGUGAACCCAAGCCUUUUGAAGAGCUCACCAAUCAGACUGCCCUUGUCUAUCCAUGAGCAGAUGUUUGAUAGUAUUGCGGAGGCCCUCUAGUGGGUAUGCUGCCAAGCAACUGGAGUGGCACUUGGGCUCUAAUCCAGUUGUCUAUCCCUUUCACCCUGGCAUUUCAUCAGCCAAACAAAAACCAACUAACUCAGAAAAAAAGGAAAGCCCCUCAAGGGUCCUUUGACCCCGAUAUCUACAUAGAUGCUAUCGGGGUCCCCUGAGGGGUACCAAACGAAUUCAAAGCUCGAAAUCAAAUAGCUGCUGGAUUCAAGUCUGUCCUUUUCUUGUGGUCUACUAUAAAUAAAAAUGUAGACUGGAUAAAUUACAUAUACUAUAACCAACAACGAUUUGUCAGUUACACCAGGGAUGCCAUUAAAGGAAUAGCUGAACAAUUGGGUUUCACCAGCCAAAUGGCCUGGGAAAAUAGAAUAGCUCUUGACAUGAUAUUAGUGGAAGUCCAAUGUUGUACCUGUAUCCCCAAUAAUACAGCCCCUGAUGUAACUAUCACUAAGGGUCUAUAAGGCCUCACCACUCUAGGAAAUGAACUAGCUGAAAAUUCGGGAAUGAAUGAUCCCUUUACAGGUGUAAUGGAAAAAAUGGUUUGGUAGAUGGAAAGGACUAAUGGCCUCUAUUCUCACCUCCCUUGUGAUCAUAAUAGGGGUGCUCAUUCUCUUAGGGUGCUGUAUUAUACCCUGUGUCUGCGGACUAGUUCAAAAGCUCAUAGAAACAGCCCUUACCAAGACCUCCCACAACUCUCCCCCACCCUAUUCAGAUAAACGUUUAUUUCUAAGCAACCAAGAAGAGCAGUGAAGCCAGAUCCUGUUAGAAAUAUAUGAAGAGGAAGGACUACAAAAUCAAAAGGGGAAAAUUAUUAGACAAAAUGAGUUGCUCUACAAAGGUCCAACUUCGUUGUCCUUUGUUCUGUAACCUUUGUUCUGUAAACUGCCCUUCCCGCAGAAACUGUCUUUCCCGCCGACCAAAACUGCCCUUCACUAUCACUGUAAUCCAUACCCCUACUCUAUUUGAAACUGCCAAUCGGGAUCAGCUUACAUUGUGUGGUUCAACCACCAGCCAAUGAGGAAAAAACACAGAAGCAAAAGCUAUGAUGCAUUAGGGUUAAAAACCCCUUCCUUUCCCUGUCCAAUGUGCUCUUGAGACUGCUACAGGCGCAAGCAGCCACCUUCUGCAGAAGUAAACCUUGCCUUGCUGAGAAAUUUUUCUUUUGAGUGCUGGUCUCUCUCUGUGGCACCAAGAACUUAUUUCUAACAUGGAGUGAUUUCCAAGAUAGAUGGUUAAGUGAAAAUAAAAACUGUUGCCAGG